UAGAGUUUGAUCCUGGCUCAGGAUGAACGCUAGCGGCAGGCUUAACACAUGCAAGUCGAGGGGCAUCGGGAGGAAAGCUUGCUUUCCUUGCCGGCGACCGGCGCACGGGUGAGUAACACGUAUGCAACCUGCCCUCUUCAGGGGGACAACCUUCCGAAAGGGAGGCUAAUCCCGCGUAUAUCGGUUUCGGGCAUCCGAGAUCGAGGAAAGAUUCAUCGGAAGAGGAUGGGCAUGCGGCGCAUUAGCUUGACGGCGGGGUAACGGCCCACCGUGGCGACGAUGCGUAGGGGUUCUGAGAGGAAGGUCCCCCACACUGGUACUGAGACACGGACCAGACUCCUACGGGAGGCAGCAGUGAGGAAUAUUGGUCAAUGGGAGAGAUCCUGAACCAGCCAAGCCGCGUGAGGGAAGACGGCCCUAUGGGUUGUAAACCUCUUUUGUCGGAGAACAAAACCCGGGACGUGUCCCGGACUGCGUGUAUCCGAAGAAAAAGCAUCGGCUAACUCCGUGCCAGCAGCCGCGGUAAUACGGAGGAUGCGAGCGUUAUCCGGAUUUAUUGGGUUUAAAGGGUGCGUAGGCGGUCCGUUAAGUCAGCGGUAAAAUUGCGGGGCUCAACCCCGUCGAGCCGUUGAAACUGGCAGACUUGAGUUGGCGAGAAGUACGCGGAAUGCGCGGUGUAGCGGUGAAAUGCAUAGAUAUCGCGCAGAACUCCGAUUGCGAAGGCAGCGUACCGGCGCCAGACUGACGCUGAGGCACGAAAGCGUGGGGAUCGAACAGGAUUAGAUACCCUGGUA
rnacentral:rRNA from 1 species